GGAGAGGUGGCAGAGUGGUCGAUUGCGGCGGUCUUGAAAACCGUUGUGCUGCGAGG
rfam:Bacteroides sp. CAG:598 genomic scaffold, scf6